rnacentral:misc_RNA from 1 species
AACGCACAUUGCGCCUUCUGGUAUUCCGGUAGGCAUAUCUGUUUGAGCGUCAGCGAAACCAUUCUCGAUUGUCUAUAACCUUCAAGGCUAUCGAUAUCGGUUUUGGGUGUCGAGAGGUGAAGACUUCGUCCCCCCUCCACCUUAAAGUCCGCUGUGCGACCGCGAGCAACUUCUUGCCAGACGAACGGAGUGGUGUAUACUUAUCUUCCGAGUCAGGGCUGGUUACCGUUCCGGCGUUAAACGUUACGUCCCACCUCCCCGGUGUGACAGAAGUUUGACCUCAAAUCAGAUAAGGAUACCCGCUGAACUUAA